rnacentral:lncRNA from 10 species
UAGUUUUGAUUACGAAGAUGCAGGCUACCAGACUGCAGAACUUGUAAAAAUGGAUAUUCUACUGAAUGGAAAUACUGUAGAGGAGCUAGUAACUGUUGUACACAAUGUGAAAGCCUAUAGGAAAAACGUUUUGGCAAAAUGUUAUGGUGGUGAUAUUACCCGAAAAAUGAAGCUUUUGAAGAGACAAGCAGAAGGGAAAAAAAAGCUGAGGAAAAUUGGCAACGUUGAAGUUCCAAAAGAUGCUUUUAUAAAAGUUCUGAAAACACAAUCUUCUAAAUAAUUGGUGGGAAAACAAAGAAUUUUCAUUGCAAUUUGUAAUAUGCUGACAACAGAAAGAAAAUUAUAAAAUUUGCUUGUUACUUUCAGGGUAUUCAGGUUCAAAUAACCUACUAGUCUUUCGUUGAAAGGGAGUAGUUAGUGGGUAGGCAAGAGCUUAGAUUUUGAAGCCAUGUUGCCUGUUCUCAAAUAUCUGUUCCAACCACUCACUAGUAAGGUGACCGUGGCCAGAUUAACCUUUGUUUCCUCUUCAGUAAAAUCGAGAUUAUACUACUACCUACAUAAGUUGUUGUUGUGAAGAUUAAAUGAGGUAAUACGUUAAAUAUUCAGAGGUGCAAGACACAUAGUAAGCACUCAAUUGUAACUACAGUUAAGUCCUUAAAUGCCAUCGAAAGGUUCUUAGAAACUGACUUUAAGCAAAAUGACACGUAGCACAAUGUUCUUGAAUGAUGUCAUUUCCUUAAGUGGUUUGUAACAUCGAUGAGGAAAAAAAAUUGGUUUAUGCGUCAUUUCAUUUUAUUUUUAUUUAUUUUUUGAGACAGAGUCUUGCCCUGUCGCCCAGGCUGGAGUGCAAUGGCACAAUCUCGACUCACUGCAACCUCUGCCUCCUGGGUUCAAGAGAUUCUCCUGCCUCAGCCUCCAUUACAGGCGUGCACCACCAUGCUCGGCUAAUUUUUUGUAUCUUUAGUAGAGUCGGGGUUUCACCAUGUUGGCCAGGCUGGUCUUGAACUCCUGACCUCGUGAUCCACCCACCGUGGCCUCCCAAAGUGCUGAUUACAGGUGUGAGCCACCAUGCCCAGCCAUGUCAUUUCAUUUAAAGUCACAAUUUCCAUGAAUCUCAACAAGUGAGGACCUGCUAUAUUUUGUUGCAUGCAGUUUUUCUUUACGGACACUAAAAGGCCCCAUACUUAAGAUUCCAUCUACUUUAAGUUUAAAGGAUUUUCAGAAUCACCUUAAGUGUCAAAUUUGUUAGCAGGAUUAAUUGAUAUGAAUUCACUUAUUAAACAGUAAACUCAAAUAACAUAGACAUCAAAUAACAGACAUCUGCUCUAGUUAAUGAUAAAAUGUUUAUAGAUUUUAUCAGGUGGUUAGUUUGAAACUAAAUGGUUUACAUCUAAAUUAAGGGCAGGAGCUGUCUUUCAGACAUUCAAAACGCAUUUGUGUAAAAUGACAGGUGUUUGGUAUUACCAGGAACUCAUAAUGACAUUUUAAUAAUUAUUGUCUAAAUUUCAUAAUCGAAGCGAUUUUAGAGUAGUUAACUUGAGAUUUCACAGCCAGUAAAUGGCUGUAUUUCUCCAGAGCUCUCAGCUCCCAUGUUUAUUCAGCCAACGAACAAACCAGACUGCAGACUGUAUUAGAGCAAGACAACAUCAUUUAGCCAUUGAUUUUUAUCUUCUACCUUGAAUGAAUUGAAUGAAGAAAAUGUCUUUUAGGGAUAAACACUAUCAAGGAUGAAUUUUAUACUAAGGUUAUAUGAAAGAAAAAUCUCAAAACCACUAAGCCAAAGGGAAGUCAAGCUGGGAACUGAUUGAGGCAAACCUGCCUCCCAUUUUAUUCCUAAAUAAGACAGCCACAAAGAUAAAAUUUGCUCACAAGGGAAUUCCUUAUGGACAAAGAACUCAAAGUCUUCACAUGAAACAAAUGCAUAAAUGAUUGCUUUCUCUGUUUCAUGUUUCACUAAGCCAGAUUAAGGUAUAACUGACUAUUCCUCUACUCUCCUCUCACAUGUAAAUUGUAUAUUCAGUGAAAGGCUAAUCAGAAACUCAAAAAAAUGCAACCCUUUCUCUCUUACCUGCCUAUGCUUGAAGCCCCCGCCCCUCUUCAAGUUGUCCUGCCUUUCAAGACCAAUGUACACCUUACACAUACUGAUUGAUGUCUCAUGUCUCUCUAAAAUGUGUAAAACCAAGCUGUGCCCCAACCACCUUGGGCACAUGUGGUGAGGACCUCCUGAGGCUGUGUCAUGGGCACACCUUAACCCUGGGAAAAUAAACUUUCUAAACUG